rnacentral:misc_RNA from 1 species
GUUCUCUUUUGUUCUUUUAAUGGCGUUACACUCAUUUUGUCGCCCAACCUGGAGAGAGUUACCCCAUUAUGUGGGUCUUCUGCUGGGCUAUGCGAUGAUCUGCUUUCAAAGUGCUAUAUGUGGCGGUAAUUCAAACAAAGCUUCAAAGAGCAUGGCUUGACUUGCAGAUGUUAUGCUUUAGAUUUGGAGAAGAGUAAUACGGGCGUAAUGGUUAGAGGCUGUCUUUCCCUCUUAUUGUCUUGGCUUAUAGGAAUAGCUGCUCAUCUCAUCAAGUGGACAUGGAUUGGAGAUCCAUCUCAAACCCUACUCUUAAUAACACCUAGGAUGUCAUUUAUUCUCUGCUUAUGUUGGAGACUUACAUUGAAAUAUGUUGAUUUGUUUUACUUUCGAUGUUUUUGAGUCCUUGAUGUGUUUUAUCAUCUACAUCUAUAUUCUG